GAACAUUGUCAAGAAUGAAAUCAAAUGCCAUGUUCCAUACUGAUUCUACAGACUGCUGCAUUAGCCUGUGGAGAUAAAAAAAAGUAACAGAAUGGAAAGGAAAGCUUACUAUCACACAUUUUCAUAGAUUGUAGAGCAAGAUUUUGAACUGGAAUAGGCUAUUCACAGCCAAACUCAUAGAAUAUGCUUAGCUAUAUUAAUUAUAGUUCACUUUCUGGUGUGAAAAUACUUAGAAACAAAGUUUUGUUGAUGGAAAAACAUAUGCAAACACACACACUCGCAGGUAAACCGUCUAUGCAAUAUUUUAAAAAUAAAUUUAAAGUGGCACGAGACAAACAUACAAAAUUAUACAUUCUGCAUUUAGGUGUUCAAUCAUGAGAUUUAAACAAUGAAAUGUAAAAAUAUUUGUCAGUUUACAAAUUUGGAAACUGAAGCAGACAUUUUAUGAAUAACGAAGAGUAUAACUGGUAUUUAGUGGGAGAGUUCAAAGAACAGGAAAACUCCAAAACUGCUAGGAUUAUUCUGAGCAUAUACACUGAUUGGCUUGCACAGGUGUAGAACAUUACAGAACAGAAAAAUGGCAGUAAAGAUGCCUGGGAAGGGUAGAAUUUAAAGCUCUUGGGAAUUAAGAUGAUCAUAUUUAAUGCAAUUUCAUCACUGUACUAUAUCAGGUAAACCAGGACUGAUUUUUGAUGGCUGAAUACUUCUUUGACAGGCCAAAGCCACCACCAUUAGAAAGAUUACAAUAGAUGCAAAAGGUGAAUAGGUACAAGUUCCUAAUACUUCCUACUGAUGUUGCAAUUCAGUUUCCUUUCAAGCCAUUUAAUCCUGCUAUGGGGGUGGGAACACUGGUUAUGGAAGAAGGGAAUGGGACAGAAAAAACAUCAACAGGCAUGAAAGGGAGAAAGAAGAACUAAACGCACUUCCAUAAAGAUGGCAGAGAAACCUCUAAUUGUUUAACAAUUAUUUAAUUGUUUGAGUGAAUGAUUUCUUGAAUGAAUAAA